AAAUUUGAAUUCAGAUUGACCUUUGAUCUAUAGUGACAUAUAGGACUCGCGCUUCGCGGCAAAUAAAUAAUAUUUUAGUAAAUUAAUAUAUAUAAUUUUAAAAAUUUUAAAAUUCAUAAUUUAAAUAUAAAAUUUAAAAUCUAAAAUUUAGAAACUAAAAUUUAAAAUUUAAAACAGUAAAAGUUUAAAAUUUAGUUUUAGUAAUUAAGGUAAAAUAUAAAAUUUUAAAUUUUAAAUUUUAAAUUUUUAAUUUUAAAUUUUAAUAUUUUAAAUAUUAAAUUAUAAAUUGAAUUUAAAAAAUUCAAAUAUUAAAUUUCAAAUGUUGAAAUUUCAAUUUCAAAUGUUAAAAUUUAAAUUUUAAGUUCCGAUAUUUUAUAUUUUAAAUUUAAAUUGAAUUUUAAAUAAUAAAAAAUUUUAAAUUUUAAAUAUGUCACGCCCCGGAUUCCUCGUUCCCCGGGCACGCUAACAGACCCGCCGUAUACAUAGGAAUUUCUCCUGUAUACGAAGCGAAGCUGAACAAGAACCUAAAACCAAUCACACUACAAAUAGUAGUAUAGAGCUGCUAGAAAGAAAUAAAACAUAUAUAAAUAAACACAGAAUUUCACUAUACAUACAUAACAUCCAGGUGUACAAAACGCUCGCUCCAGCGAGAUACAACAUAAGUAUGUAUAAGAACUCAAAACUACCACUACAUGUAGCUGGUAUACUCUAGAUCAGCAGCAACUGGGAAGGGAUCUAACUCGCGACUCCUUUUCCGCGGUCUAAAUCAGCAACGGCAGCAGUCGAAGAAGAAGGCUUUGCAAAAGAUUUCAAUAAUUGGGCGUGAGAACUACUGUAAAAAGAAGUAGUCCUCAGUGGGUACUGCUACCGACCUCAACGGCUCACCCACUAAGUUUACAGAUGUAUGCUUAAAUGAUAGUAAGAAAACUGAAAACAAUCUACAGCUACAUAUCACUAUACUAUCAUGGUUCGACACUACUCUCUGUAGAAUAAAACAAGCUCAGACCCAAACUCACUAGGGACUGUAAAC
rnacentral:lncRNA from 1 species